UAGGCAUGCAAGUCGAACGGUAGUAUCCUUUCGGGGAUAUGAGAGUGGCGAACGGGUGAGUAACACGUAGGUGAUCUACCCUCAAAUGGGGGACAACCCAGGGAAACUUGGGCUAAUACCGCAUGAGAGUACUCGAAUGAGUAUUUAAAAGAUGGCAGUAAUGCUGUCGUUUGAGGAUGAGCCUGCGCCCUAUUAGUUAGUUGGUGAGGUAACGGCUCACCAAGGCGAUGAUAGGUAGGCGGCCUUAACGGGUGGUCGCCCACACUGGGAUUGAGAUACGGCCCAGACUCCUACGGGAGGCAGCAGUCGAGAAUAGUCUACAAUGGUCGAAAGACUGAUAGUGCGACGCCGCGUGAACGAAGAAGCCCUUCGGGGUGUAAAGUUCUUUUAUAUGUGAGCAAUGGGUUCUAUGUGAACAGCAUGGGAUCAGAGAUAUUAGCAUAUGAAUAAGCAACGGCUAACUCCGUGCCAGCAGCCGCGGUAACACGGGGGUUGCGAGCGUUGUCCGGAAUUACUAGGCGUAAAGGGCAGGUAGGCGGAACCAUAAGUUUCAUGUUAAAGGCAUCGGCUCACCCGGUGUAUGGCAUGAGAUACUGUGGUUCUAGAAUGCGGUUGGGGAAGACAGAAUUCCUGGUGUAGCGGUGGAAUGCGCAGAGAUCAGGAGGAAUACCGAAGGCGAAGGCAGUCUUCUAAGCCGAUAUUGACGCUAAACUGCGAAGGUGUGGGUAUCAAACAGGAUUAGAUACCCUGGUAGUCCACACAGUAAACGAUAAUCACUAGGUGUCGGGUUCUUUAACGGAUUCGGUGCCGUAGCUAACGCGUUAAGUGAUUCGCCUGGGG
rnacentral:rRNA from 1 species